rnacentral:rRNA from 1 species
UACGGGGGGAGCAAGCGUUGUUCGGAUUUACUGGGCGUAAAGGGCGCGUAGGCGGCCACCGCAAGUCGACUGUGAAAUCUCCGGGCUUAACCCGGAAAGGUCAGCCGAUACUGCGGGGCUAGAGUGCAGAAGGGGCAACUGGAAUUCUCGGUGUAGCGGUGAAAUGCGUAGAUAUCGAGAGGAACACCAGAGGUGAAGACGGGUUGCUGGGCCGACACUGACGCUGACAGCGCGAAAGCCAGGGGAGCAAACGGG